GCCUUCCGGCCCGAGUUCCGGAGACUCAACAUGAAGCUGCUGGCCAGGGUUUUCUUUACUCUGGGGUCCCGGCUGCCCUGUGGCCUCGCUCCUCGGCGGUUUUUCAGUUAUGGGACAAAAAUAUUAUAUCAAAACACUGAAGCUUUGCAGUCUAAAUUCUUUUCACCUCUUCAAAAAGUGAUGCUACCACCUAAUAGUUUUCAAGGAAAAGUGGCAUUCAUUACUGGCGGAGGUACUGGCCUUGGUAAAGGAAUGACGACUCUUCUGUCCAGCCUAGGUGCUCAGUGCGUGAUAGCCAGCCGGAAGAUGGAUGUUUUGAAAGCUACCGCAGAACAAAUUUCUUCUCAAACUGGGAAUAAGGUUCAUGCAAUUCAGUGUGAUGUGAGGGAUCCUGAUAUGGUUCAAAACACUGUGUCAGAACUGAUCAAAGUUGCAGGACAUCCUAAUAUUGUGAUAAACAAUGCAGCAGGGAAUUUUAUUUCUCCUACCGAAAGACUUUCUCCUAAUGCUUGGAAAACCAUAACUGACAUAGUUCUAAAUGGCACAGCCUUCAUCACACUAGAAAUUGGAAAACAACUAAUUAAAGCACAGAAAGGAGCAGCAUUUCUUGCCAUUACCACUAUCUAUGCUGAGACUGGUUCAGGUUUUGUAGUACCAAGUGCUUCUGCCAAAGCAGGUGUGGAAGCCAUGAGCAAGUCUCUUGCAGCUGAAUGGGGUAAAUAUGGAAUGCGUUUCAAUGUGAUUCAACCAGGGCCUAUAAAAACCAAAGGUGCCUUUAGCCGUCUGGACCCAACUGGAACAUUUGAGAAAGAAAUGAUUGACAGAAUUCCCUGUGGUCGCCUGGGGACUGUAGAAGAACUCGCAAAUCUUGCUGCUUUCCUUUGUAGUGAUUAUGCUUCUUGGAUUAAUGGAGCAGUCAUUAAAUUUGAUGGUGGAGAGGAAGUACUUAUUUCAGGGGAAUUCAACAACCUGAGAAAGGUCACCAAGGAGCAGUGGGACACCAUAGAAGGACUCAUCAGGAAGACAAAAGAAUGCCUUGGAACAGGACAUACCAGGAAUGCAAAGAAAGUCUCCUUUUGAGGGUAGAAGCAGGUGAGUAGAGGAACUUAUAAUAGAAGAAAGACUAAACCAGGUUGUCCUCCUGGCAUUCCAGCAACAAAACUACCUUUGACAGGAAUAAUACCUGCUUUUUACUGAGACUUGAUUGGUCAUUGUCUGUGCGUUACCAUGAUUUUAUGAUUUCAAUUAACCUGACUAAAACCUUUUAAAACCAGCCAGCCCAAUGGAUGCAUUUCUUCUUACUGAUAUCUUCACAAGUACUCAUUGGAUUGUUCUGCAAGAAACACAAGGGCCUUUAUACCUUUGGAAUAUGUGUGAAAAAAUAUCAGUAAACCAGAUAGAGAUCUAGCCCUAAUUUCAAAUCCAUUUUCUGCUCCCCAGGCUGUAUUUACACAUUAGUUUAUAGCCAGCAUGAUGCUCAUUUCUCCAGAGGGCCAGUUGGGUAGUUUUUAGCUUGAUGCAGUCCAAAGCACUUUGGUUAAAAUGCUUCCGCUGACUAUUUAAAUUAACAAAAUUGGCCACAGUUUAUGUCAUUGAAUCUUUGAAAGAUAUAUGAAUCAUAUUAAAAUAGAGAUUAAUGUCGGAAGGAUGAAAAAAGAUGAUUAUUAACUUGACAGCUGGAGCUUAGGAGUGAAUUUAAUUUUUUUAACAGAAACAUAAAUAAAAGCUUUACAAAGAUUUGCCAUAUAAGUGACAGUGUAAGCACUUAAGCAUAUAAUAGUCAUUCAUUUUGUUUAGUGCUAUUCAUUUGUAACUCCUUUAUUUUCUCAGAAAAUGAAUUAAUGCAAUUAGGAGAAACUAGGCAGAUACUGUGCCCAGAUAUUAUUGAAGGAUUAGAUUUCUUUGAUUCAGCAAUGACUUAUCUCCCUCCUAAAUGUUCCAGUUCUGGGCUGAUUUGAUGUCACUUUUUUAAAGGAAAGAGACUCUUUUCUUAGUUUGAUAAAAAUUUUUUUACUUCAAAUAUUCCACUUCAAAUCCAAAGUGAAGCAUGGAAAAUUCAGUUAUCUGUUGGGGUUGAAUUUUAUUUUUGAGCCUUCUGGGGCUUUUGUCAGAGAUUAAUUGGGUUAAAAAGCCUCAUCAGAGACUAAAAUGGUGGUCACAAAAAUAGCCUGGGAGAAACCUUGGGAUGCAGAGAUUCAAAGUCGUGUCUGAGAGCAAGUGAUGUUUUACUCUAUUAUGGAUCUUAAAAUUAGCUUUCUUGAAAGAUCCAUUAAAAAAGAAAGCCAACUUAUCUUCAAAAUUCCCCAGGGAAGAGGACUUCUAUUUAGAAUCUCUUUCUGAGAAUAAAAUUUAGAACAAAGAAGGAGACUUUUAGAAUAUUUAGAGGUCAGUAUUGGAAAUGAACUAAGGUUUUCAUUAUGAACUAAAAAGGAUCUUUAAAAGAAUAUUUUUGGUCUAACUAAUAAAAUAAAAACACAGUGGCUUAUCUGUCACCUUGUGGGUUGCUGAGCUGCAAGUUUGUAAAAUAUGUUGUUUUCAGUGACUUCACAUUAAAAACGUUUACAUUUUCAAGAGGAUACAAUUGAGUAUGUUUUAGCCAUUUUGCCAUGGCCCAAAUGUCCCAGUUCCAUCUUUAAAAUUGUGUGCUACUCAAACUAUGUUGAACUAUGACUAGAACUGUUGAUAUUCAUAUUUCCCCACAUAGCAAAAGAGCAGCUCUUAAUAAAUGAAGUCUGAAAGCAUGUAGUGCUGUGGGGGUGGGGUGGGGAGUCAUUCUUAGCAUUAUCAGAUAUUCUAGGUACAAAUCUAGGUUCUCUUCCUAGGCAGCUGUGUAAUCUUGAAAAAUCAUCAAAUCUCUCUGCAUUCCAAUCUCACCGUUUUUAUAUUAGGAGUGAUAAUACCUGCCUUGCAUAUUUUCUGUGAGGAUUAAAUUUUAAAAUACAUUUCAAGCACCUUGUACUCUGCCUGACACAUAGUCAGUAAAUAUUAACUCACUUAUAUUUUAGUCACUCUAUGUUCUAAAAAUAGAAAAAGUAGGGUCUUUCAGAUGGAGAUGUUUUGGGGUCGGUUUGAGGAAACGAGAAGAAUACUUCCAUAUUCCUGAAAGGCUAGUAAAUUGAGUUCAUGAAUAAUAUAAUUUAUUUUAUGUUGCAUGUCACAAAAACUUUCAUGUGCAGAAUCUUACUGGAGCUUCACAAUAAGCCUGAGAGGAAGGAUUUAUUACCCUCAUUUUAAAGAUUAAAGAAAAUUAGGAAGAUACAGUAAUUAAUGAGGACUUCAGCUGCUGGCAUCGGAAAAGCAGCAGGAAAUUCUCUUCUGUGGGUAAUACGUGAGCCAACUGGAAGAUUUAAGAAGAGA